GCUGGGCAUGGUGGCGCGUGCCUGUAAUCCCAGCUAUUCAGGAGGCUGAGGCAGGAGAAUUGCCUGAACCCAGGAGGCGGAGGUUGCAGUGAGCCGAGAUCGCGCCAUUGCACUCCAGCCUGGGUAACAAGAGCGAAACUCUGUCUCAAAAAAGAAGGGCUUUAUGGGUUUUGUUUUGUUUUGUUUUGUUUUUUAAGAUGGGGUAUCACUUUGUCACCCAGGCUGCAGUGCAGUGGUGCGAUCUCGGCUCAGUGCAACCUCUGCUUCCUGGGCUCAAGCAGUCCUCCCACCUCAG
rnacentral:SRP_RNA from 1 species